AAACGGCUGCUAAUACCGAAUACGAUCUUUUCGUCGCAUGACGGAAAAGAAGAAAAGGAUGGCCUCUAUACAAAGCUAUCGCCGAAGGAGGGGUUUGCGUCUGAUUAGCUGGUUGGAGGGUAACGGCCCAACAAGGCGAUGAUCAGUAGCCGGUCUGAGAGGAUGAACGGCCACAUUGGGACUGAGACACGGCCCAGACUCCUACGGGAGGCAGCAGUGGGGAAUCUUCCGCAAUGGACGAAAGUCUGACGGAGCAACGCCGCGUGAGUGAAGAAGGUCUUCGGAUUGUAAAGUUCUGUUAUACGGGACGAAAAAGACGGAUGCCAACAGUAUCCGUCCGUGACGGUACCGUAAGAGAAAGCCACGGCUAACUACGUGCCAGCAGCCGCGGUAAAU
rnacentral:rRNA from 1 species